CAAGUAGGCGGUCUAUUAAGUGAGAGGUGAAAUCUCCCGACUCAAUCGGGAAACUGCCUUUCAAACUACUAGACUUGAGGUCAGAAGAGGGAAAUGGAAUUAGCGGUGUAAGGGUGAAAUCUGUAGAUAUCGCUAAGAACAUCGGCGGCGAAGGCGGUUUCCUGGUCUGAAUCUGACGCUAAAUUGCGAAAGCUAGGGGAGCAAACAGGAUUAGAUACCCUGGUAGUCC
rnacentral:rRNA from 1 species